rnacentral:rRNA from 1 species
AGAAUGGUUGGAAAUCAUUCAUAGAGUGUAAAGGCAUAAGGGAGCUUGACUGCGAGACCUACAAGUCGAGCAGGGUCGAAAGACGGACUUAGUGAUCCGGUGGUUCCGCAUGGAAGGGCCAUCGCUCAACGGAUAAAAGCUACCCCGGGGAUAACAGGCUUAUCUCCCCCAAGAGUUCACAUCGACGGGGAGGUUUGGCACCUCGAUGUCGGCUCAUC